AUAGGGCUUGCCAUGGCUGCAGGGAGCCCAGAGCCCACGGGGCUGCCAGAAGCAGCCCGUCUCUUCUUCCCUCUCGGGCCCUGCACCUGCCCGAGGCCCCACGUCCAGCUGGGCUGGGAGCCUGUGUCUCUCCUUCCGGGGAGCUGGGAGUUCAGCUGGCUCAGUCCCACGGCCAUGGCUGCCUUCAGCUGGGGGCUGGGCUCUCGUCUUCCGGUGUUGGGUGUAGCUGUAGAACUUUCCAGGCUCUCUGGUGCUUGACUUCUUGAUAUUUGCCAUCUCGAAUCUGGAAAGCUGGCUGUUCCCGGGAGAGGCGUUUUUGGGCGGGUUCCUGGGUUUUCUGAGGCUGGAGGUCAGCUUCCUCCAUCUUCCUUGCUGAUGCCUUCCCACCAGUCAGACGGAGCAGGUGGUCAUUCCUUUGGGGUGAGGGGAGCCCGGGCACGUGGAUGGAGGCGUGAAGGGUGUCCACCUCGCCACCCCCUCACUGAGCUCACCAAUGACUGGUUCCCUGGCUCCUUCUGAAAGCAGCUAGAACCUUCCUCAGGAAACUGACAGAUGAAAAAACUGCAGUAUUUCCUCACCCGUGGGCAGAGGGCCUACCACAGAUUCCACAAUAGAGGAAGUGUUAGAAAUUUAUUGAAUUAAUAAAUCAAUGGAUUUCUUCAAUGUACCAGAAUAUCCUUUGGCAGGAAAUCCUUGGUCAAAAAAGCAUGUGGUAAGGAGACAAAUUCAAAGUAAGGAUUUAUUGAAAACAAACUUGAGGCAUAGUCUAAGGUUGCUGGAGAUCUGGCCCACAAUGGACACCUAGCAUCUGUCUGUAUGGCAUUGAAAAAAUAUUGCCUACAAAUGUGAAUCUGAGGCCCUCAAGAUAUUGAAUCAACAAUGAAAAGAUUAAUUUAUUGUUAUUUGUUACAUAGCUUGUGCAAGGCCUGUGCUAUAAAGCAGAAACAUGGACCAAUAUAUUUUAUUGAAACUUUAAACGAUGACAGUAAAAUUGUUCUGGUGCAUGGUGAACUUAUAAGAAAGCUCAGUCGACCAGACAUGGAAUUUUGCAGGCGCUUCCUGGGAUAAUGUGACGCAUUCUCUUCAUGACUCACAGUGAAGCUUUAGUUCCAUCCAUCACGACAGCCUGGACACUUCAAUCAACCAGUGGAAGUAAUCACGCCACCCUCUCAGGGGAUAUGUUGAUUUCUGGGUCCAUUUGUCAUUCCUAACAGAUCAGAAAGUUUUCACCCAUCUGGACAGGCUUUAUUCAUCAGUGUGUGUGUCACAUGCGUGCAUACAAGAAAGACCUGCCAGGUUUCAUUAACCAGAGCCUCUAAGGAGCACAUGGGAUGUCUUUUCCCUUUAGGAGAAGCCCUGGAGUGCGUCGCCUUUGAUCUGGGCUGAGACAGCUGUGGUUAGCACAGGGCAGGGCGGACCGCGGUUCUGACGCCGUGGAGGAGCUUGUGGAGGCUGGACCUGUCAGAUGUGACUUUAGUCUCAUAACUUUGGAACAGUAAAUGGCCCUUUGCUUUGGAAGCCAGUCCACAGUUUGCUGGAUCCACGACAAGAUCUGAAUUUCAGUUUGUGGAUAUUGUUAAGUGUGUUUGGGGGCAAGAUUUGCUGACUGGGCAAGAAGUAAGGAUUAUUUUAUUCACGGACACGCGUCUCUAAAAAUUUCACAGUCGGUGUGAAGCAGGACAUGGUAGUGUUCACGGAGCCUUUGGGAACAGGCUUGGUGCCAGCUUGGACCUUCACCCCAGCAUCAGCCCUCCUACCAUCAGGGUGUCCUUUUAGGCUCUGUCUUCGGGUACAAACUGCAGACAAACUAGGUCCCCCGGGGAGAUGGGGGAACACACGUGUGUUUCACCAAGGCGAGGAUGGGGAAGUGGUGGCUGUUGGUGGCGGAGGCGGGCCCAGCGCAGCAAGCGCAGAGCCCUCACCUGCGGGCCCCCCUAUCGGGGGGCAGCUCCGGUUCCCAUGCAUCCCUCCUUGUCAGUGUCACCCAUGUGAUCAGGGCUGCAAAGGCCGUGAUGCUGUUCAUGCCAUCUCGCGAAAGUCCGGCCCAUUUCCCUUCCUGGGGACCCGCCCUGCCCUGCUGACUUCUGGCGGAGCACCAGCCCCAGAGGUGGCUCCCCCAGUUCUAACGACGGAGGACGGCCCCUCCCGGGAAUAAACCUGAAUCCCACAUCCUCCGCGUGGUCUGCGGUUCCCGUGCACCCGAUGAAACGCACGUGAGCUGAUUCUGAGAACAGAGGGACUUCGAGGAGGAAGGCAGCCGCUCCCUCUGCCCAGAGAUGGCUGGACCUGCGGCGAGAGUGCGCUCUGGGGGCGGGAACAGUGAGAAAUUAGGGGCUGGGAUGGCCGGGACCUUGGCCUGCGGUAACUGGAAGCCUGUGGGGGCGUCUGGAGAGUUUUGGAAACUUACUGUGAGUGUGGUGUUCCUGGGGUCGCUCCUGAUGGGAGAUCAGGUUGAAGAGCAGCGAUGAACCGGGCGGGAGGCCCUAGACCCACCUACCACUAAAACAGUUUGAUGUUUGACCACUUGAUUAAUCCCCCUAUCUCGCAGUGAGCGAUAUACUCGCAGUGACUGAGGAAAGCGAUUCUGAUGUUACUGGGUAUUUGGAUAGCUAAACAACGUGAUUUUUGCGACUUUUGUUUAAAUGCCAUGCGAUCCACAAAGUGUUACACAAAUGUUAUUUUUAGUGAUGUGUCCCUUAAAAUAGUAAAGCAUGGGUUUACACCUA